rnacentral:lncRNA from 1 species
GAACUCGUUCAUGCUCUACAGACAUGCACACAGUAGAUACCCACUGCCCAUGUGUGUGAGAGAGCAAGCAAACCAGCUGAAGCAUGUUGGAGAACGUGUUAACCUUUGUGCCGAAGUGCAAACUAGAACCCUUUAGUCGAAGGGACACAGCUUCAGAGGGCACAACAAGGAAGUAGAGAGUGGUUUCUACUCUGCCUGAGCACGGAGCUCCCUGCACUAGGUCAGCAUUGUGGGGAUUUUUAUGAUGUUGCAUCUCAAAAUGGUUUUUGAAGAGCAAGCUUUUAAAAGUUACUGCUUCCCCCAAACCCUAAAUUUCUAAAAGCUGGUGUUAAUUUCAGUCUCCUUCAAGCGCCAAGUGGAUUAAUAAUGAAAUGCUAAUGAGGCUGACAGUGCCUCCCUUCAAUGUUCUUAAUGACAAUAAAGUCUCAAGGUUUGAUACAAGAACCAUAAGAGAAGACCCUCCCACCCCACCCCCACGGUCUCUUGCAGGUUUUCACAGUAAGUGAAACUGCCAAGCAAGGCAGUGGGGGAGCGCUCCCACCUUGAUUAGCCUUUUUCUUCAUGAAUUCACUCAGCUCCUUGUCUUGAUUUUUCAAGUAGGGGGAAAAAAUCCAACAAAACCGAGAAUUUUAAGCUUUUGUAAAAUCAUUAUGGAAAUGUUGGAAUCAGUAAACAUGAGAAAGCCAAACUGAAGAUCUAAAUCCGCCAAUGACAGUUAAGGUCCUCUGGAUUGGAGAAAAGAAUUGGUAAUGGUUGAGUCCCUGUGUGCAUAAAACACAGCUGUGAUUCCUUGAAUUUAGCAAAGCCCAAGAACCUACUGUAUCCAUGGCUUUUCAAACGCAGCAUUCUCAGUAAAAUCUAUUUGUCUUCUAAUUGUUUCUGAAUUCCAAAUACAAGCGGACAGUGGUGUGGCUUGGAGUUAUAGAUGCUGUUUUUUUUUUUUCCUUUUGAUUACUGAAAUCUCCCACAUGAGAGAUAUUAUUACUUCGGUUGUUUGUGAUGCUGAUGUGAGCACGGUUUCUUUUACAUGUUUGCUAGGCCGGUGCUUUUGCAUUGAGAUGCUCCCAGCUUCCAGAUGGUAUAUUUUUGCAUUUACAGUAAGACUGCAACAGUAGACAUUUAUAGAAUAAUUACCUAGUGUUUUGUUUUUGAUACACAUAGAUUAGAGAAAUGAAAAAUGAAGUGAAAAUUAGCAUUUAUAGAGCAUUGCAUGGGUAUAAAGAUAUUUCUGUAUAAUAAAUGUGUGAUAUAUCAAUAUUUUGAUACAGUUACUUGACCUUGGUUUGUCUCCAGUUCAUUAGUUUUAUUGAUUUGAACCAUAAUUCUCUGGGAAUAUUGUAGAGAUGAAGUGGUUACAAAGAGCAGAGAAGCUCAGUCAGAUGGUAAAUAUUUACUUUAUAUUGACACUAUCCUUUAAACAUUUAUUUUUUGUUAUUACUGCAUACUAACCAUGUUCUAAAAAGGUUGCAGUUUUUAUAUCACUGAAAACUGACUCCUCCUUACUCACUGUCCAGCUAUUCUUUGAAAUGUUUCCAAGAAUGCACUCCUGCAUGGCUGGCCAUGUAGGCUAGGAGCUUCUAAACUGCCUUUCAUGAGGCCCCUGCUUUAUCACCAGUGGCACAAACAUGUAUGCACACAGACAUACACACACACACACAUACACAUUUGAAACGCCUCAAAUUCAUUUUUAAAUUAUUUUAUUGUUACUUGAUUUAGGCACUUAGAAUUUUUUUCAAAAAUUGGAUAGGAU